rnacentral:lncRNA from 1 species
CUUUUCCCCGUCGGAAGCACAAAUCCUCAUGGAGGCAUACGAGGAGGUAAAAUAUAUAAUUAAGAAGAAAGGCAACACCGCCACAGUGAUAAAGCAAAGAGAAAAAGCGUGGCAAAGUAUUGCAGACCGCCUGAAUGCAUUAAACAUGAACGGGCCAAAACGGACAUGGCAGCAGGUCAAAAUCAAAUACAAGAACAUUCUGCAGAAUGCAGUGAAAAAGAAUACCCACAGACAAGGCACGGGUGGUGGGUCACCAAAGGCUGACCUUACCCCAGCAGAGGACAUGGCCUUGGAGCUAAAUAAAGGCAGGCCCGUCUUAGAGGGGAUCCCUGGGGGGAAAGAGACGAGCAUAGGUUCCUCCCAAGAUGCCACCCGCUUCAUUCAAGUGUCUGGCAGCACUGUGUUCCUGUUAGAGCCACCAGCACAAGCACCAGACGAUGCUGAUCCAGGUGAAGGCCCCAGUGCAGCAGCAACAGCACAUGAUGGAGACGAUGAUGAGGAGGAGACCAUCUCUCUGGAUUCCAGAAGGCAUGAGGACCCAGAUGCUAUACAGUGGGAAAACCAGCCUGGCAACAUAAGCUCACAAGCUAUCAGAAAGUUGUAUGGCAACCACCUCCGGCGCCAAAUAGAACUGGCAGACAUAGACAUUCAGUACAAGAAGAAAAAGAUGGAAAAUCUUGCACUGGAGUCCGAAAUAAAAAAGAGGACAAUUAGGAAACUGGACCUUGAAAUAAAAAAACUUGAGAGGGAGGUGAGAUAUGCCUUCAAUGUACACUGUAUGCUAACUGUAACACAAAUGUAUUAAUCAUUAUUUUUCUUUCCUCCCCCAGCUCCAAGAAGAUGACACAG